rnacentral:rRNA from 1 species
CCUACGGGGGGCAGCAGUGAGGAAUAUUGGUCAAUGGACGAGAGUCUGAACCAGCCAAGUAGCGUGAAGGAUGACUGCCCUAUGGGUUGUACACUUCUUUUAUAAAGGAAUAAAACGAGGCACGUGUGCCUUUUUGCAUGUACUUUAUGAAUACGGAUCGGCUAACUCAGUGCCAGCAGCAGCGGUAAUACGGAGGAUCCGAGCGUUAUCCGGAUUUAUUGGGUUUAAAGGGCGCGUAGAUGGGUUGUUAAGUCAGUUGUGAAAGUUUGCGGCUCAACCGUAAAAUUGCAAUUGAUACUGGCAGUCUUGAGUACAGUUGAGGGAGGCGGAAUUCGUGGUGUAGCGGUGAAAUGCGUAGAUAGCACGAAGAACCCCGAUUGCGAAGGCAGCUUACUAAACUGUGACUGACAUUGAUGCUCGAAAGUGUGGGUAGCAAACAGGAUUAGAUACCCGGGUAGUC